rnacentral:lncRNA from 1 species
CUACACUCAGAAUAGCCUGGCUGCUUCUCUGUCUCCGAGACCGGAGGGAGUGGGAACCAACAGCUGGGCUGGAGAGUUGGUGCUGGCAAAACAGUCCUUCCCCUGGGGCCGGUUCUUACCCAGGUCCAGAGAAACCAACGCGGGAUGUCAGACUUCACCAAAAGGACUUUCUGGUUGCCCCUGGCUGGCUUCCUGGAGGCGUUCGCCUCUAGUUUCUCAGGGAUGGAGCGAGAGCCCAGCCAGAGAACAGUAAGAGGAGCUGCUCUCCUAUCUGCACUCACCCAGGCCUUCACCCAGACUUUACCACUGAGGCGGCUGAGUGCAGCUACAGCUAGGUCCGCGUCCCUCACUCUUUUCAUCUUCUGCACGUUCUUCGUGAAACUGGAAGGAUCCCAGGUCUCAGCCAGAACACGGUGGAAGAGAACUUUCCUAGGAAACGGUUCAUGUGUCACUUUUCAGGAUGUGGAAACACUGUGAGCCAUACACCCUCCAUUGCUUGGUGCUGGGGUUGUGUGGCCUCCACUGGGCACUUGCCGACCUGAGUCUGGGGCCAGGGGAGCCCAGGCUGCCCUGCACUCCUGCCUCCCAGCCCACAACCAGGUGCUUUCAUCACAGCUAAACCUGGUUCCCUCCAAACCUCCCAGCCACUCGGGCUUGUAACUGUCCGAGCCCCGGAUCCAGUGGGGUGAAAGCAGCCAGCUGCUCAUCUCAGUGACUCACAGGACACAGCCAUCCAGUGGCAUCUUUCCUUGUUGAAUGAUACUGUAAUGACCUUCCGAAGUGAAAAGUAGCACAUUAAAGUGAUUUUAUUGUUUCCUGUUUCUCAUUCUGAUUUCUUUUUCCUCCUAUGUUCCCAGAUUCUGGAACGGAACCCCAGCCCUUCCAGGUCUGAGAGCCACUCUUUCUUUGCUCUGGAUUUCUGUCACGUCAGGGUCCCCUCCCUCUGCGGAGUUGUAUGUUGCUGUUCCUGAUGCAUAGACUCCUCCCCCGCUGCUUUUCUGCCCACUGGGUCAGGAUCUGCCAUUCUUUACAAGUUUCCUUAACGUAUUGCGUCAAAGCGAGACAACUAAGUCUUACUCAAACUUGUUUUAACCGGAGAUGGAGCGUCGCUGCUGUGUCACCGCCUGCACAGGGCUGCCCUCAGGCCAGCUUCCUGGGGCUUACUCCGAGGGCAUCGCCUUGCCCCGCACUGUGGUGGGAUGUAAAGUGAUAACAGCUAAACGACGCCUGCACAACGUGUGCUGGUGCCUUCUGCGUGACCCCGGAGCAGCAGGUUCUGCACGUGGCAGGUAAGAGCACAGCUGCCAAGACUCCAAGCCUAGUUCUGCUGCUACAAGCUGCUGCGUGACUUAAGGUGAGUUCAUCUUCGCCUCAGUUUCUUCCUCUGUCAAAUGGGAUAGUCCUUACCGUGUAUGGAAUUUAAAGCACUUUGAACAGUGAGUGUGAGCCAUUACUAACUCAAGUAAUACCCCUUCCCAACCCAGAACCCUAUAAGGCAGGGACAGUCAGUCCCUCUCUCUGCUUUAGGGGGUUGCAGGAUAAAGACACCAUCACAAGAAAUUCAAACACAGUAGGUAAAUUUUGAGCCACAGCAAAGCACAGAGGUUGCAUCCAGGCCAGCUUAGCACUGUUGAAAGUCACCAUCCCCAGCACUGCAGAAGCUGACCCUGAACUCAAGGUCACCCAGGGCUUAAGCCUCAGAGAAAAGGCCUGGGUUGAACCUGAGCAGCAGGUGAGUGCAGGGCAGGCCUCUGGCUCCCUGGAGGGAGAGGCUAGCCAGGAAGUUGAGCUUGAGCCUGACCCCGAGGGAGAGGUGUGGGGCAUACUCAUGAUCUGUCCGGGAAGGUCUCUCCAGCUACUGGAAGGGGAGUGCCCACAGGGGCCAGGAGAAGGCAGUUGGGUAGAUGUUGCCGUAGUCCGGACACAUCCAGGCAUACGUGGUUUUGAAUCACUUCCUCUCCAAGGGCUGCUGCUUCCUCUCCACCCCUCCCAAGUGUUCUGGCUCUGGGCCCCGGCUGGCCACCUCAGCCCAGGCAGGCUCCUCCAACCUGAAUGACAGGCAACCUCUACGCUGCCCGCCACGGCACCCCAAAGUCAAGACGUAGAACUCAUUCCACCUCCUUCACCCGAGGCUGCUUUCCCAAACGUCUUCCCAGUCCCAUCUUCAGUUUUGUUUUUUUUGUUGUUGUUGUUGCUAUUGUUUUUGAGACGAGUCACUGUUGUCGCCCAGCCUGGAGUGCAAUGGCACGAUCUCAGCUCGCUGCAACCUCCGCCUCCCCAGUUCAAGCAAUUCUACUGCCUCAGCCUCCCGAGUAGCUGAGAUUACAGGCCCCCGCCACCAUGCCCAGCUAAUUUUUGUCUUUUUAGUAGAGACGGGGUUUCACCAUGUUGGCCAGGCUGGUCUCGAACUCCUGACCUCAGGAGAUCCACCUGCCUUGGCCUCUCAAAGUACUGGGAUUACAGGCAUGGGCAUGAGUCACCAUGCCCGGCCUUUUUUUUUGUUUUUGAGACAGAGUCUCACUCUGUUAUCCAGGCUGGGGUGCAGUGGCACAAUCUUGGCUCGCUGCAACCUCUGCCUCCAGGUUCAAGCGAUUUUCCUGCCUCAGCCUCCCAAGUAACUGGGAUUACAGGUAUGCACCACCACGCGCAGCUAAUUUUUGUAUUUUUAGUAGAAACGGGGUUUCACUAUUUUGCCUAGGCUGGUCUUGAACUCCUGACCUCAAGUGAUCUGCCCACCUCGGUUACCAAAGUGCUGAGAUUACAGGCGUGAGCUACCACGCCCGCUCCCCACCUUCAGCUUUUGCCAAACCCUUCCUUGGCUACCCAUGUAGUACUCCAUAUAGUAAGUCAGCAAAUGUCAUUGUUUUGAGCUAAGUGCCUACGUUAGGCUCCCCCUAAACAGGUUUGAUGGGCUGGUUUUUUCCCAAUAUGCUUUGGAAAUCAUUGUAUAAUACUGACAAGAAAAGUGUCCAUCUCUGCACCACCCAAAAUCACUGCCUCCCUUGGGAGACACCGGCCAGAGCAAAGCCUUCCCAACAGAGCACAGCGACCCCAUAGAGUGGCCCCUGCCGUCACUGUUCUCCUGGAAACCAAGAACAGGAGUUCUCACACCUGCCCACCUUCUGCCCUCACUCCCACUGCUGCAACAGCAAACCCUUCCUCCCCUGCUAUGGACCUUGAAAAGCUCUCCGUCCUAGGACUCUCUGCCAGCCCCGGGCCCUCAAGCCUCAUCUGCUUCCAGCCCCUGACUUCAUGCCUGAAGAGCAGCAAGCUUUUUUUUUUUUUUUUUUUUUGAGACUGGGUGUCGCUGUCACCCAGGCUGGAGUGCAGUGGUGUAUUCACAGCUCAUUGCAGCCUUGACUUCCUGGGCUCCAGCAAUCCUCCCACUUCAACCUCUGGAGUAACUGGGACCACAGGCUCAUGCCACCAUGCCCAGCUAAUUGUAUUUUUUUUUUGGUAGAGACCAGGUUUCGCCAUGAUGCCCAGCUGGUCUCAAACCCCUGAGCUCAAGCCAUCCACCUACCUUGGCCUCUCAAAAUGCUGGGAUUACAGGCGUGAGCCACCGUGCCCAGUCCUAGCAAACGUUCAUCAAAUGUCUAUAGCAGUGGCCGGGUGCUGUGGCUCACACCUCUGGUCCCAGCAUUGUGGGAGGCUGAGGCAGGAGGAUGGUCUGAGUAUAGGAGUUCGAGACCAACUUGGGCAAUGUAGCAAGUUGAUCUCUACAAAAAAUUUAACAAUUAGUCAGGCAUGGUGGCAUAUGCCUCUAGUCCCAGCUACUCAGGUGGCUGAAGGAGGAUCACUUGAUCCCACGAGGUUAAGGCUGCAGGGCAACAAAGCGAGACCUUGUCUCAAAAACACAAACAAAAAACACCUCUAUAGCAGGAAUGAGCCAGGGACUGUGGACAGUGUGCCCCGAGGCCCGUCCUCUCUUCCCACAGCUGAUGGGGAUGAGGUGUAACUCACACAUCCUAAAAGCUUCAACAGGGCACUGGAGUGCCGCUGACCAAGUUACUGGCAUUUUCUAUUGCCAGGAAGCCGCAUUCUCCUCCCUGCUAAGCUUUCUCAUGCUAGAGAAUGAUGACUAAAAAAUAGAUGAUCCCAUCCUCUUAUUCACCAUCCCCUAAAAAAACAGAGUGCCACGUGGAAUGUGUCAGCCUCACCUGGGGGAGACACCCUUAUCUGAAGACUUAAAAGGAAAAACUUGGUGAGCCAGCCUCCACACAAACACACGCAUAGCCUUGCACAAAACAAAAAUUUAUUGGGAGAAAGAUGGCUGAUGGGAGGCAAGAUCUGGAUUCAGGAAUCCUCAAUUUUAGCUCUCGCUCUGUCACCAAAAACCUCCGUCCCUCCCAGAGCCUCCAGGAGUUUCCCCUUCUGUAAACCGGUAUCGCGUCCCUUCCAGCUCUGACAUCCUGCAGUUCUAGAAUACCCAUUGAUUGAAAGAGCUGUGGCCAAACAGGAAGGACAGAGCAAGAGCCGCUGACAAAGGAUUCUGCCAAGACAGAAUCCCAAGGUCACCCCUGAAUAGCAGAAUGCAAUCCCCCAGCUCACUGCCGGCCAGAGCCUGCCAGUGCACCAGCACACAGGGUCACAGCAAUGCCACCAUGCCAAGGCGAGGACAGAGCGGGAGAGAGGCUUGGGGCAGUGAAAGAGCCCUCUCGGGUCUUGGCUUUGGAAGUGUGGACUGUACCAGCAGAUGGGCCCUUGGGAAGCCACCAGGGAACAAUUCAAGGCUGGAGAGAAAAAGGCCACCUUUGACCCAGCAGAAGGCAGAGGCGGGAGAGGAGGGUGAGGACGUACAAGGAGCAUCAGGAGCAUCGAGGAAGUACAAGGAGCAUCGCAGGCGAGGAAACAAUGGCCAGGACCUAACUGUGGUGGGAACUGCCUUUGUCUCCACACACUCGCAAUCAACAUGCGUAUUUGCUAUUUUCAAACAAACAACUCCCUUCCACCCCCUUAAGGCUGAAAGGACAAACUCAUCAGAGUUGAGGAGUACCUACCUGAUGAAGCUGUUCAUGCUUCCAGCAUCAAACUGGACGUUUACUGUCUGCCCAAAAGCCAGUUUCCAAAAGGUUUGCUUCCCUCUGUUGAGUGGAUUCUUGACUACGUAUAGGUCAUAUAUUUCAAAAAAUAAUGCCUAGCUAUUUCUACUUUUAAAUCAUGACUAAAGCCAAACCACAAUCACAGCAAAGAUAACCUAAGGAUUUGUUUACCAGAAAUACCUACAAAAAAGUUUGCAGGCCGGGCGCGAUGGCUCACACUUGUAAUCCCAGCACUUUGAGAGGCUGAGAUGGGCAGAUCACAUGAGGUCAGGGGUUCAAGACCAUCCUGCCCAAUAUGAUGAAACCUGGUCUCCACUAAAAAUACAAAAAUUAACCAGGUGUGGUGGCUGUAAUCCCAGCUACUCAGGAGACUGAGGCGGAAUUGCCAGAACCCUGGAGGGCAGAGGUGGCAGUAAGCUGAGAUCGGGCCACUGCACUCCAGCCUAGGUGACAGAAUGAGACUCAGUCUCCCACCCUGCCAAAAAGUUUGCAAUGUCGGCAGCAAAGUGCAAACAGAGCCGGCUCUGGGUGAAAGCUUUAGUUAUGAAAAAUAAGAAAAAAAAAAUCCCUAAGCAUUUCUUAACACUAGUUUUAAAAAAAACCCCUCUCCAAAGGUAUGUUUCUCCUUCAACUUUCUUGAGUUUGCCAGGCUGUCAGGAUGCAAGCUACCUACUCUUUUCUGGAUGGAUCAGGACAAAGUUUUUAAACAAAGACUCUGUCCUCUCCACAAGCC